CUGUCCAUGUUUGUUUUUAGGUGUGGUGGAGAGGAGAUUUUCAUUGGUGCCAAGUACAUUGUACAUUAAGCACCUCAUGGAAGGACCAUCCCAAGUAGAAGAAUACUGGGUACACACAAGUGGAUUUUCCUGAAAGUUGUAGUGGCGUGAACAAUUUCUAGUAUUGACAAUGUGACCUAUCCUGAAGGAAGAUUUCCUCGCAACAGGAACUAAAACAGGAAAACCCUGUUUUAUAGAAAACAAGUAGGAACAAGGGCUUUUGGCUUAUUCAGUGAUGAAUUGGAGCGCUUAGUCAGAACUGCCUGAUAGAUGUGGAUGAUGUAACCAGAAGGAAGUGUAACACCUGAAGAGAUAUUGUGACUUGGAGUGGGAUGCCAUGCUUUUAAAAGCGUGCUAAAACAGCUUUCAUUUUGUUCAAUAUAUACUGUCUCUGCAUAUUUAAAACACCAUCUUUCCAAAAUACUGAGCUGUCUUCUGUAGGAAGUGUAGCAGUAAUAUUAGGGAUGGAGUACUUGGAAAACCCCUUGAUUUUUUCACCCUUUUAAAAUACCAUAUGGGUACACAGUCUUGCAGAUACUAGAGAUCUGUGAUAACUCGUGACUGGAGCUCACAGGCAGGCCCUGUAAAGACAAAAGUAAAAGACAAUGUCUACGGCUUGCAUCACUGUAUCUGGCGAGGGAGUGAGGAGUUGGGGUUUUAUGGACUGCCCUUUCAGCAGGAGAAAACUAGGAUCACAACAGUGGAACUGCCUUUUGAGGAAUACACUGGCACCAGUACUGCUUGCUCUCUAGGGAAGGAGGUUGGUAGUGGGAAAAGAGAGUUACAUUGGAACUUGGGGUUUUGUCUUGGUUUGAAAAGACAGGUGUCUGCUAAGGAAGGCAGGAGCCUCCCUUGAAAUCGAAGUUAAGCAGCAUUCAGGCAAAUAUAUAUAGGAGUAGGAAUAACAGUUCUUUACUAGGAAAAAUAAAAGUGAAAAUGAAAAUGCAGUAAUGCAGACCAACACUGACAGAGUCAGAAUACAGCCUGACAACCCUGUUGGUCAGGGUGUUGGUAGCAGUCUGAUGAAAUGGUGACUGCAGUGCUCCUGGAGUGACAAGUGACAUUCUGGUGAAGCAGUGAUCCUGUAGAAGGCUGUAGUUUUCCUCUGAAGGUCCAGUGGUGGUGUAGAUGGGCAUGGUCUUCCUCUGGGAAUCUAGUGGGAGAAGGCUGACUGUGGUAUUCCAAAUCUGAGAUUAUAUCCAGGUGGAAAUGCUUGGCUCCUCCCUCUGGGUGGAGCAUCUCACAAUUGGAUCGGUCGUGCAAUGAGACCCAAAGGCCCAUUAACAGAAUAUAUCUUCCUGGAGGGAGGAUUGUUGUGGAAGAGAUAAAGAAAACUGCCCAAUUAACAGAAGGAUACCUGCCCCAUCUCUAACAGAUGGCAAAUAGAAUACACACCCUCAGCUACAUCUUCCAACCUGAGUUGGCUUUUAACAGUCACUUAUAAAGAGCUGGUGCUGGAAUGACAGUAGCAGCAGAUUUGCUGUAUUCAGCAAGCUGUCCCUUUCAAAGGAAUGAAGGAUCAUCAUUUGAAUCACAAAAAGGAUCACAAAUUUAAUGACAACUGGUGAUGUACAUUAGGUAAAGUUGGCCUUAAAGCAUCACUUUCAAGCCUUAUUGUCAGGAAUUCUUUAUAACAGCAGAAAAAAUUACAAUAGCAUAAUUAAAAAUAAGUAUCCAGCAUGCUACUGAAGUGGAUGCUAAGGAUCUGACUGAACUCCAGGAGUGCAUUGGCUCACUGAGCUUCUCCAAUGGUUUGCUUGUUAAGCACCGCCAGCUACUUUGGCUAAAGGCUGCUCCUUUCAAGCAUGGAAUGGUAAAUCAGACUAUUGAAUACCAAGAUCUGCAGAAAUAAACUGGAAAACAGCUUUCUCUUCGUUGUUUUCAAUAAUACUUGUUUCUGUUAACAAAUGUUCCUGAGGAUGGUGUGGUUUUUUGUGUGCUAUGCUUUGUACGUGCUUUUUGAAUAAAGAUGAGGAUGUUAAAGUCA